CCUACGGGAGACAGCAGUGGGGGAUAUUGGGCAAUGGGCGCAAGCCUGACCCAGCGACGCCGCGUGAGGGAAGAAGUCUUUCGGUUUGUAAACUUCUUUUCGCAGGGACGAAACAAGUGACGGUACCUGAGCAAGAAGCCACGGCUAACUACGUGCCAGCAGCCGCGGUAAUACGUAGGGGGCAAGCGUUAUCCGGAUUUACUGGGUGUAAAGGGCGUGUAGGCGGGUCAGUAAGUCAGAUGUGAAAGGCCGGGGCCCAACCUCGGGCCUGCACUGGAAACUGUUGAUCUUGAGUGCUGGAGAGGUAGGCGGAAUUCCUAGUGUAGCGGUGAAAUGCGUAGAUAUUAGGAGGAACACCAGUGGCGAAGGCGGUCUGCUGGACAGUAACUGACGUUGAGGCGCGAAAGCGUGGGGAGCAAACAGGAUUAGAUACCCUGGUAGUC
rnacentral:rRNA from 1 species